GUGUUCAAUUCUGUUUGAUCCUGGCAGAUGCUACUGCUAUUGGGAUUCGAUUAAGCCAUGCAAGUCGAAC
rnacentral:rRNA from 1 species